GAUGAACGCUAGCGGCAGGCCUAAUACAUGCAAGCCGAACGGUAAUUCUGAUAGCAAUAUUGGAACUAGAGUGGCGUAAGGGUGCGUAACACGUAUGCAAUCUACCCGCAACAGGAGGAUAGCUCCCCGAAAGGGGAAGUUAACCCUCCAUGAGAUCACACGAGGGCAUCCGAGAGUGAUUAAAUUUGAGGAGGUUGUGGAUGAGCAUGCGACUGAUAGCUAGUUGGCAGUGUAACGGACUACCAAGGCGAUGAUCAGUAGGGGAACUGAGAGGUUGAUCCCCCACCACUGG
rnacentral:rRNA from 1 species